rnacentral:rRNA from 2 species
GGGGAAUAUUGCACAAUGGGGGAAACCCUGAUGCAGCAACGCCGCGUGAAGGAUGAAGGUUUUCGGAUUGUAAACUUCUUUAGUCAGGGACGAAUAAAUGACGGUACCCACAGAAGAAGCCCCGGCUAACUUCGUGCCAGCAGCCGCGGUAAUACGAAGGGGGCUAGCGUUGUUCGGAUUUACUGGGCGUAAAGCGCACGUAGGCGGAUUGUUAAGUGAGGGGUGAAAUCCCAGGGCUCAACCCUGGAACUGCCUCUCAUACUGGCAAUCUCGAGUCCGGAAGAGGUGAGUGGAACUCCUAGUGUAGAGGUGGAAUUCGUAGAUAUUAGGAAGAACACCAGUGGCGAAGGCGGCUCACUGGUCCGGUACUGACGCUGAGGUGCGAAAGCGUGGGGAGCAAACA